AUUGAACGCUGGCGGCAUGCUUUACACAUGCAAGUCGAACGGUAACAGGCCUUCGGGUGCUGACGAGUGGCGAACGGGUGCGUAAUGCAUCGGAACGUGCCCAGAGGUGGGGGAUAACGCAGCGAAAGCUGUGCUAAUACCGCAUGUGAUCUGAGGAUGAAAGCGGGGGACCAGGCAGCAAUGUUUGGCCUCGCGCCUUUGGAGCGGCCGAUGUCGGAUUAGGUAGUUGGUGGGGUAAAGGCCUACCAAGCCGACGAUCUGUAGCUGGUCUGAGAGGACGACCAGCCACACUGGGACUGAGACACGGCCCAGACUCCUACGGGAGGCAGCAGUGGGGAAUUUUGGACAAUGGGCGCAAGCCUGAUCCAGCAACGCCGCGUGCGGGAAGAAGGCCUUCGGGUUGUAAACCGCUUUUGUACGGAACGAAAAGGCUCUGGCUAAUACCUGGGGCUGAUGACGGUACCGUAAGAAUAAGCACCGGCUAACUACGUG
rnacentral:rRNA from 1 species